rnacentral:rRNA from 1 species
CUUCGGGCCUUGCGCUAUCAGAUGAGCCUAGGUCGGAUUAGCUAGUUGGUGGGGUAAUGGCUCACCAAGGCGACGAUCCGUAACUGGUCUGAGAGGAUGAUCAGUCACACUGGAACUGAGACACGGUCCAGACUCCUACGGGAGGCAGCAGUGGGGAAUAUUGGACAAUGGGCGAAAGCCUGAUCCAGCCAUGCCGCGUGUGUGAAGAAGGUCUUCGGAUUGUAAAGCACUUUAAGUUGGGAGGAAGGGCAGUAAGCUAAUACCUUGCUGUUUUGACGUUACCGACAGAAUAAGCACCGGCUAACUCUGUGCCAGCAGCCGCGGUAAUACAGAGGGUGCAAGCGUUAAUCGGAAUUACUGGGCGUAAAGCGCGCGUAGGUGGUUUGUUAAGUUGGAUGUGAAAGCCCCGGGCUCAACCUGGGAACUGCAUCCAAAACUGGCAAGCUAGAGUACGGUAGAGGGUGGUGGAAUUUCCUGUGUAGCGGUGAAAUGCGUAGAUAUAGGAAGGAACACCAGUGGCGAAGGCGACCACCUGGACUGAUACUGACACUGAGGUGCGAAAGCGUGGGGAGCAAACAGGAUUAG